rnacentral:rRNA from 1 species
UACGAGGGGUCCAAGCGUUGUUCGGAAUCACUGGGCGUAAAGCGGGUGUAGGUGGCUCAGCAAGUUGGAUGUGAAAGCCCCGGGCUCAACCCGGGAAGUGCAUCCAAAACUACUGAGCUUGAGUGCGGGAGAGAAAGGUAGAAUUCCAGGUGUAGUGGUGAAAUACGUAGAUAUCAGGAGGAAUACCGAUGGCGAAGGCAGGUCUCUGGGCUGACACUGACGCUCAUGCACGAAAGCGUGGGGAGCAAACAGG